rnacentral:rRNA from 1 species
GAUGAACGCUGGCGGCGUGCCUAAUACAUGCAAGUCGAGCGGUAAGGCCCUUCGGGGUACACGAGCGGCGGACGGCUGAGUAACGCGUAGGAACGUACCCCAAACUGAGGGAUAAGCACCGGAAACGGUGUCUAAUACCGCAUGUGAUCUUCGGAUUAAAGCUUCGGCGGUUUGGGAACGGCCUGCGUAUGAUUAGCUUGUUGGUGAGGUAAUGGCUCACCAAGGCGACGAUCAUUAGCUGGUCUGAGAGGAUGAUCAGCCAGACUGGGACUGAGACACGGCCCAGACUCCUACGGGAGGCUG